rnacentral:rRNA from 1 species
UACGGGGGGGGCAAGCGUUGUUCGGAAUUACUGGGCGUAAAGGGCUCGUAGGCGGCCAACUAAGUCGGACGUGAAAUCCCCAGGCUCAACCUGGGAACUGCGUCUGAUACUGGAUGGCUUGAAUCCGGGAGAGGGAUGCAGAAUUCCAGGUGUAGUGGUGAAAUGCGUAGAUAUCGGGAGGAACACCAGUGGCGAAGGCGACUACCUGGCCUGUUCUUGACGCUGAGGCGCGAAAGCUAGGGGAGCAAACGGG